rnacentral:rRNA from 1 species
GAUGAACGCUGGCGGCGUGCCUAAUACAUGCAAGUCGAGCGAACAGACGAGGAGCUUGCUUCUUUGACGUUAGCGGCGGACGGGUGAGUAACACGUGGACAACCUACCUAUAAGACUGGGAUAACUUCGGGAAACCGGAGCUAAUACCGGAUAAUAUAUUCAACCGCAUGGUUCAAUAUUGAAAGACGGUUCUGCCUUCACCUAUAGAUGGAUCCGCGGCGCAUUAGGUAGUUGGUAAGGUAACGGGCUCCCAAAGGCACGAUUCGUAGGCCACCUGAGAGGGGGGAUCGGCACACCGGGAACUGGAACACGGUCCAGACUCCUAGGGGAGGCGGAAGAGGGGAAUUUUCCGCAAGGGGGGAAAGCCGGACGGGGCAACGCGGCGGGGGUGAUAAGGGUCUUCGGUUCUUAAGACUUUGUGUCUGGGGAGAAAAAGAUGUGUAAGAAAAUAGGCGCGUCUUGACGGUACCUAAUCAGAAAGCCACGGCUAACUACGUG